rnacentral:rRNA from 1 species
AUUGAACGCUGGCGGCAGGCCUAACACAUGCAAGUCGAGCGGAUGAAGGGAGCUUGCUCCUGGAUUCAGCGGCGGACGGGUGAGUAAUGCCUAGGAAUCUGCCUGGUAGUGGGGGAUAACGUCCGGAAACGGGCGCUAAUACCGCAUCCGUCCUGAGGGAGAAAGUAGGGGAUCUUCGGACCUCACGCUAUCAGAUGAGCCUAGGUCGGAUUAGCUAGUUGGUGGGGUAAAGGCCUACCAAGGCGACGAUCCGUAACUGGUCUGAGAGGAUGAUCAGUCACACUGGAACUGAGACACGGUCCAGACUCCUACGGGAGGCAGCAGUGGGGAAUAUUGGGCAAUGGGCGAAAGCCUGAUCCAGCCAUGCCGCGUGUGUGAAGAAGGUCUUCGGAUUGUAAAGCACUUUAAGUUGGGAGGAAGGGCAGUAAGUUAAUACCUUGCUGUUUUGACGUUACCAACAGAAUAAGCACCGGCUAACUUCGUG